UACGAGGGGGGCGAGCGUUGUUCGGAAUUAUUGGGCGUAAAGGGUGCGUAGGCGGUUUGGUAAGUCUGAUGUGAAAUCUAUGGGCUCAACUCAUAGUCUGCAUCGGAAACUGCCGGGCUUGAGUGUGGGAGAGGUGAGUGGAAUUCCUGGUGUAGCGGUGAAAUGCUUAGAUAUGACACAGAACACCAAUUGCGAAGGCAGCUCACAAAACUGUAACUGACACUGAGGCACGAAAGCGUGGGGAUCAAACAGG
rnacentral:rRNA from 1 species